UGGCGGCUAAGCCAAGAGCAUCAUCCUUCAUGGCUCUCCGGGUGCACAGGGAGCCAUCAUCCCUCCUGAGAGAAGCUGGGCCUCCUGAGGCUCAUGUCCUGGGAGAAGAGCCGUCUUGGACCAAAUAUGCAGGCAAGGAGAAGCGAGAGGGAGGGAGGACCUCCUGCCUGCCUUGAUUCUUGAGAGCCCAUGUCUUGCUCCACAGAGUUAAAUUCCUGCUUCCCACUUCACUCAUUUGGGGUUUGUUUGGGGUGUUUUGUGUUCCUGUUUCUCUUUCCACUCAAAACAGCAGGUACUCGAGCAGGAGGAGGAGAAGGAGGGGGCGUCCCAUCUUCAGAAGCGAGUCCGUGGGCUGAUGGAGGAGGUGUCCCGUCUCUCGGCUGAGAACCGGAGCCUGAAGCAGAAGAGCCCUGAUCCGGAGGAAGGAACGUCCCAUCUCUCCGUUGAGAACCAGAGGCUGAAGCGGCAGGUACGUGUGCUGUGGGAGGUGGUGAUCCAUUUCCUGCCUGAGAAUCAACAGCUGAAGCAGCCGGGUCAGGGUCCUGGGGAGGUGAAAUUCCCUCUCCCAGUUGAGUUCCCAAAGGUGGAGGAGCAAGACCACGAUCAGGACGAGGUGACCCCUCGGCUGAGAACCAGGGGCUGACGGAGCAGGUAGACUCACUGAUGGAGGUUGUGUCCCAUGACCUGGCUGAGAACAACCAGCUGAAGCUGCAGCGCCCUGAUCGGGAGGAGCCGGUGUCCUGCCUGAAGCAAGAGGGGCCGCUCAGGAACAGACUCGACGGGGAGGGGGUCCCCGCACAGCCCGGUCCGUCCCCGCUGCCCUCCGCCUCGGCCCCAGCUCUGCAUCCGCCCGAGCAGGUACACGAGCAGGAGGAGGAGGAGGAGGGGGUGUCCCGUCUUCAGGAGCGAGUCCGUGGGCUGAUGGAGGAGGUGUCCCGUCUCUCGGCUGAGAACCGGAGCCUGAAGCAGAAGAGCCCUGAUCCGGAGGAAGGAACGUCCCGUCUCUCCGCUGAGAACUGGAGGCUGAAGCAGCAGGUACAUGUGCUCCUGGAGGUGACGAUCCAUUUCCUGACUGAGAAUCAACAGCUGAAGCAGCCGGGUCAGGAUCCUGUGGAUCUGAAAUCCCUUCUUCCAGUUGAGUUCCCAAAGGUGGAGCAGCAAGAUGAUGAUCAGGACGAGGUGACCCAUCUCUCGGCUCAGAACCAGAGGCUGAAGGAGCAGGUAGAAGCCCUGACGGAGGUUGUGUCCCAUUACCUGGCUGAGAACAACCAACUGAAGCCGCAGCGCCCUGAUCGGGAGGAGCCGGUGUCCCGCCUGAAGCAAGAGACAGACCGGGAGCGCAGGGCCCGACCGGGAGCCUCCGGAGCCCUCCAAACAGUUAAAAAAAUCCUUUUCGCUUCAGUAGCUUCUCCGUCCCUAGGAGCACAAAAUGGCUACCAGGCUCCCUUCUGAUGUGGGCUUUUAGCUGUUUCCUGCUCUAUUUCCUGCUGUCUGGGGGCUACCAAGGCUUGGUAAGUGACUUUUAUUUCUGACCCUUUUUUCCCCUCCAGAAGCCUCUAAGGGGAGGGAGGGGGCACUUUUUUCCUGUUCGUAACUCGAGGGAAGUGCGUAUGUCGAGUCCUUAUUUCCCCUAUAGGGGGGGUUCGUAAGUUGAAUUGUUCACAAGUAGGGUCGUUCGUAAGUCGAGACCCCACUGUAUUCGCCUGCAACCCAGACGGCCGGGUUUCCUGCCUGGCUGGGCUUUUUUCUAGCCUUGGCCAAGGACCUUCCCAGCCUUUGCUUGCCCAGGUGUCAGCCCCGCCACCUGCCCGCCACCCGCCUCCGUCUCCCCUACCUGUCCCCCUGCAUUUCCGCCUUCUUUGCUGUCUUUCUUUCUUCUCCCUCCCUUCUCUUGGCCUCACCCUCUUCCUCCCCAGUUCUAAGCAAAGCAUCUUUGCCCUGAGCCUGCAGGAGGAAGCCAGCCAAGAAGGCCGACGAGGAAGUGAAGGAUUAAAAGGACCAGCAUUUAUAUUCUCUAUUGAAAAGGACAUUGAGGAUAUUGGUAUAUCCUCUAUCCUGCAUCCUGAGAUCUGAGGUAGAAUGGGCAUUACACGUUGGACCCAUGGAGAGCAAUUCAGGGAGAUGAUGGCGCUUCAGGUCUGAACCAGGGGCCGAGGGAAGAGCCAAGCCUGGAGCCCAUACAAGCUCAGCAUCAGCUUCCCUCAGGCCCUGUGAUCAUCCUCCUAAUUCAGAGGCAAAACAGAUGCUAUCCUGGUGCCUAUCUCACUGCAAGGACCACCUCGGUGUGCGUCUCUUCCACGAGAGAGUCUCCACAGUUGACCGUCAGGCUGGGCGUUUUCAGGAAGAGGGUGGCCUCCAGGCCAGCCCUCGGCUUCUCCUUCAGGUGUGGGGGGUUCAUGGGAAUUGUGUCCCUCCCAUCACUCCUCUCUUCUCUUCUCUCCCCCUUUUCCAG
rnacentral:lncRNA from 1 species